CUUUGAAAGAAGUCUCUCUUUAUUUCUGUCAAACGUGAAUUGGUGUGAUCCAAUUGUUUUUAAACAAAUAAUAUUUUAAUUUGUUGUUGUCACUCAACACAGACCUGUGAAUAAUUUAGUGUUCAUGUGAAAUUUUUAUAACUGGUAAAAUGAAUGAAGAGGGUGCUUCAUUUUCACCAAAAAAAUCAUCCAAGUGUAGAACAUUCUGUUCUGUGCCAGGAUGUUAUUCACGGGCCAAAACAUCAAGAAAUUUGUCGUUUCAUGUAUGGCUUAAGAAAGGAGCUUUAAAAACUAAAGUAAUAAACAGCUUUGGAAAUGAAGACUUUGUUAAUUGUCAUACAGAAUGGAUGAGACGAUUUAAAAUGGGUAAACCUAAUUCACUUUACAUGAAAGUGUGUUCAAAACACUUUGUACGUGAAGAUUAUUAUUAUUUAGGUCAAAAUUCAAAAAUUAAAAAGUUUGAAAAAAACGCUCUACCAAGUAAGAAUUUACCGCAAGCUCCAAAGCACGGAACAGUUGUUAAAGGAAAGAUGUCAUCGAAAUCUAUUUCGUAAUUCGAGUUCACAGGUGGUGAUAUAGGAACUGAUAAGCGGAUUUGUAUUCAUUUUAAUUAUAUUUUUACAGGUUUUGCCAUAUUGUAAUGUUUCAUUUUGGUAACAGGAGUGCACAUAAAAUAAGGAAGAGGGAAUUAAUAUUUUUCUUUGAGAAUUUUCUUCAUAGUUAUUGAAAAUUGAUAAUUAAUUGUUUAUAAAAUUUUAUUUAAUUAGAGAAGAUCUUUUUACGUAUAGCUUAGAAAACUGUAAGGUAUGAGUGUAUAACAGUGUGUAGAUGCUUGGAUUUUAUAAAUUAAGUUUUAAAAUACUCCAUUAUGUAAUAUUUGAAACAAGUUGUUAAUUCAGAUGUUCA